GCGGGUGUCGCCAAGUGGUAAGGCAGCAGCUUCCCAAGCUGCCAUUUCGUGGGUUCGAAUCCCAUCACCCGCU
rnacentral:tRNA from 1 species